UACGGGGGGUGCAAGCGUUGUUCGGAUUUACUGGGCGUAAAGGGCUCGUAGGCGGCGCAACGAGUCACUUGUGAAAUCUCCGGGCUUAACCCGGAGCGGUCAAGUGAUACUGUCGUGCUAGAGUGCGGAAGGGGCGACUGGAAUUCUCGGUGUAGCGGUGAAAUGCGUAGAUAUCGAGAGGAACACCUGCGGCGAAGGCGGGUAGCUGGGCAGACACUGACGCUGAGGCGCGAAAGCAAGGGGAGCAAACGGG
rnacentral:rRNA from 1 species